GGAUAUGUGAGUGAUCUCGCUGUGACAUCUGUCAUCGCAUAGAUUGCCAGAGUUAAUUUGGCUAAUCUGACUGACUAGGCGGGUGUCCCCUUCCUCCCUCACCUCUCCAUGUGUGUCCUUCCCAAAACUAUGUGCUGGGUGGAAGAGAAUGACCUUCCCUGUUAGAAGGCUAUUUCAUGUACACAUAUAACUGAUUAACAAACAAAAGUAGAUAAAUAAAUGAGUAAAAUAUGUAUUAUUUCUGGCUCCUUCU
rnacentral:snRNA from 11 species